rnacentral:lncRNA from 1 species
UUUUUUAAAAGAUGAUUUUUUUUAUUAUUUUUUUAACUUUUUUUUUUGGAUGAAAAUCAAGAUGAAUACCCCCAAACCUAAACCUAACAUUGUCCUCAAUGUUAAGAAAUAAUCUAAGAGAAUUGGGUUGCCUCCCAACAAGCGCUAAGUUUAUUGUCUUCAGCCAGACACAGUGGGUCCUUAAUUAUUUUGAUAAACAGGGUUCGUUAAAUUAAGAGAUUCGAUCAAUUGCCCGUCGGCAACACAGUCUACAUAAGGUUUUAACCUUUGACCAUUGACUUUUAAAACAUGUCCACCAU